AUAAGUACAAGACGCAAAACUAAGAAAAAUAAUUUUUAAUAGUUAAAUUUAUUUAAAAAGCCCAUCAACUUUAAUUUGUGGUGGUGCAGAAGUUAGAUCUGAGAAGAGGGUUUUAAACUACAGUAGACCAAGACCAACUUAGAAGAAUAUCUCGAAGCUGUAGAGGGAAGUAAAUUUAAAAUCACAGCAAAAAGCUACUAAAAAGACUGAUGUAAAAAUUAAGGUAGACGGAAGAGUUAAAAAUUUGAAAGGCCUUAAAUCCAUACAGUAGUUUAGUUUCUUCUGGAAAACUUAAAGGACGAUAAAUUCAAGAGCGAGGAUAACCAAGUUAACAUUUUUUGCAUUGGACUUUGAGCUAAGAUGAAUUUCUAAACCCUGAGGACUAGGCGCUAAUUAACAGCUGACCAGGUGCUACACAGAAGUGGAUUCAGAGAACCUAGGAAGACAGCAGCAGACAGGAUUCCAGGAGCCAGUUUUUGGUGAAACUAGGACUGAGGAGCGAGCGGCAGUUCGUGAAGAUAGGAAGGAGGAGCCCGGGAGCCAGUGCGAUUUGGUGAAGGAAGCUAGGAAGAAGGAAGGAGCCCUAACGGUUGGAGGUGAAGCUAGGAGAGGAUUCCAGGAAGGAGGAAGCCAGUGCGAUGUGGUGAUGAAGCUAGCGUGCGGCUUGGCGGCGUGGCUUGGCAACCCCGCGGAGGAGGCGAGCAGGCGGUGUGGAGGCUAGAUAGAGCGUCCUAGAGCGGCAGCCCAGUGUGCAAGGCCGGCAGGGAGAGCCAGUGGUGUGGUAAAAAUCCGUGAGGUCGGCAGUAUCGUGGGUUCUGCUUUGUUUCUUCACCUUUUUUUGGUAACAGUACGGUAAUCUUUGUUGUAUUUCCUAAUGGUGAUGGGGGAGCUGUGUACUUAAGCAUAAAGGGUUUUAUGGGGAUGUAGGCCGAUUUUCGGGUGUUGUAGGUUUCUCUUUUUCAGGCGUAUUUUCUCAUCUUGUCUGAAGCUUUUGAGGGCAGACUACCAAGGCCCGGAGGAAUAGUAGAUGGCAAGUGUUUUCGUUUUUAACCAAUAUGAGGGAAAACAAAUGAAUUUGAUAGAACAACCUUGAGACAGUUUCAGCCAGCUUUGUAAGCAGGUUUUAUAUUUAGCUUGGUAAUGAAGCAUUUCCGUUUUGUGAGUAGAUGACUUAAUUUUCUUUCUCAUUCUCUAUUCUAAGUUACCUAUAUAUAUAUAGUUGGGUGUGUAAUUCGGGGGGGUAAAGGUUUUGGGGGGGCAAAAUAUGUUUUGAGUUCUUUUCCCCUUAGGUCUGUCUAGAAUUCCAAAGGCAAAUGACUCAAGGUAACAGGAAAAAAGAAAAUCCAGUAUCAGGAUAAUCAGAACACCACAGGUUUACAGUUUGUAGAAACUAGAACACGAGCAGCUCUCACUUAAGGUCUGUGAUGGAACUCCAGUGGAGAAAUGGCUGGUACUUUUUCCACCCCUUAAUCAGAUUUUUUUUUUAAUUAAAGUAUGUAACCGGUUAUUUUUACUUGAAGUAUUUUGGGGUGGUCUUAACAGGGAAGAGGGUGGGGGAGAAAAUGUUUUUUUCUAAGACUUUCCACAGAUGCUAUAGUACUAUUGACAAACUGAGUUAGAGAAGGAUUGUACUGCUAUGCUGUUGGCACCAAACACCUUCAGGGAUUGGAGCUGCUUUUUUCCUUGGAGUAUUCCCAGUGAAGCUGAAAUAUACAGCACAGUGCAGCUUUGGUUCAUAUUCAGUCAUCUCAGGAGAACUUCAGAGGAGCUUGACUAGGCCAAAUAUUGAAGUUAAGUUUUCAAAUAAUGGAACUUUUUAAGAUGCCUUUUAAAGGGGAGGGGCAAGUUUUGGCAAUUAGUUGGCAGUGGCCUGUUUUGGUUGGGGUUGGGUGGGUUGGGUUUAGGUAAUUGUUUAGUUUAUGAUUUCAGAUAACUCAUGCCAGAGAACUUAAAUACUUAGGAUGGAAAAACUAAAGAAAUCUCACCUCCCAAGUUGGCAAGUAACUCCUGAUCCUCUAGUUUCUUGUUUUACCCCAAUUUUUGAACUGGACAGCUGGGAACUUCAAAGAUUCACUGGAUUUAAAGUGUAGGGCUUGGGAAAGGAAAGUGUUGGAUUGGGGGUUGGUCUAGCCCACUGGGUUGACCAAGAUAAAAACUUGGGGAAUUGUUUAAACACUAAAGUUGUUUGGAUAUGGUAGUGUGUGGUUCUCUUUUGGAAUUUUUUUCAGGUGAUUUAAUAAAACUUAAUACUACUAUAGGAGCUUCAGAGCAAAGGAAGUGGCUUAAUGAUCCUGAAGGGAUUUCUUCUGAUGGUAGCUUUUAUAUUAUCAAGUAAGAUUCUAUUUUCAGUUACAUAAGCAAGUUUUUUAGUAUAGGAAAUUUUUGUAUGGCUGCGAGACAAGAUGUAAAGACUUUUUUCAGAUAACAUCUUCUGAGUCAUACCCAGCCUGGCAAUAUGAUGGCCUAGAUGGAGAGGGGAACAGCUCCUUGACAGGUUUCUCAUUAUCAGAAGAGUUGCUUCAUAUCAUCUGGGAGCAGAAAACAGCAGGCAGCUGUUCACAGAUAAGUUUAACUUGCAUCUGCAGUAUUGCAUGUUAGGGAUAAGUGCUAUGUUUAAUAAGAGCUGUGGAGGUCCUAGGUCCCUUACUCAAGGGAUCUCAGGAUUUUGAGGAAUUUUCCCAUCCAGCCUUUUAAAAUGAGACAGGCCUUAUGCCUGUGGGCUUCCAUGAUGGGCUAACUCACUUCACUCGAGGCAAGUAAUUCCUUAAAGCCUCUUGAGAUUAAUACCUUAAUAAUCAAGGAUAAUGUUGAUAAAAUAAAAAUUUGUUUAGCAUUGAUUCUUGAAAACCCUAUGAAAAGAUAGCAUAAUGUGCUGUUAACCAGAAUCAGAUAUGUUAACCUUGCUAAAAUUUAAAUGUUAUGUGUAUUGUGCAGAAAACCGUAAAAUCACUCAAAAUAAAAUACUUUAUUU
ensembl:lncRNA